AUGAAUCAGGUUUAUCAAUUGACUCCUUCGGCUUUCCGUUUUCCUCUUGGGGAGGGGUGGGACUUCCGGUUUCAUCUCCGGAAGACGACGAGCCGGAGGAGUCAGUCAGAGGGGCCAGCAGGAGCGAUUCCGUCGGCAAACGGGCUUGCUUUCUUCAGUCAGCUGAAUGCAGGGAACGAGGAAGCUCCAGGGCAGAGCUGCAAGAUGGAAGGAGCCAGGAUCCCUGAGUCGGCCUGCAACAGACCGCCUGCUGACCAGGAACACCUGCCGUGGAAGUUUACCAGAGCGAGAGAGAGACUUCUGUUGUGCUUUGGCCAGUUUGCUUAGGGGACUGCUGAAGGGCCAGAUGGUGAAUGGGAAGUUCCUUUGAUAGCGAAAGUACACAACUUUAUUCCAAGUGGAGACAAAGGUUGGGGUUACAAGCUGAACAGGUGAAAUCCAGUCACAUUCGUCUCUCCAUCUGACGUUGGGAAUGGAUCCAGAGAAUGGAGAUGAUGGUUUCACCCAAGUAUUUCCGCAAUUAGGAGCUCCUUUAUGAAAUAAAUGCAUAUCUAGCCAGGAAAAUAGUCCA
rnacentral:lncRNA from 1 species